CACACACACGGUGGAAGCAAGUACAGGCAUUCCAAUGAUUUCUUUUCUGCCGACCCAGAAAGACCUCAAGAUGACAUUCAGUCUAUUUAAGUCUCAAGUCCAAACACAGCUUAUUAAAAAGUGUGGGGAAAUCCUGACCAAACAGAAUGAAGAGAAAACGCUUCCAAAGACUGAAUGCAAUGACUUUUGUGUGCUUAAACAUUUUACACCCACAGAUAUGACAUUUCCGUGCUCAUUUCACUGUUAAAAUCUCAGCCAUGAGGACACUCAGAUGAGUAUUAUGGCUUGCAUAAUGAAGUAAAUUCAGCUCUGAACAUUUUAGCCAU